rnacentral:rRNA from 1 species
CGAGCGGAUCUUCAUUAGCUUGCUUUUGAAGAUCAGCGGCGGACGGGUGAGUAACACGUGGGCAACCUGCCUGUAAGACUGGGAUAACUUCGGGAAACCGGAGCUAAUACCGGAUAAUCCUUUCCCUCACAUGAGGGAAAGCUGAAAGACGGUUUCGGCUGUCACUUACAGAUGGGCCCGCGGCGCAUUAGCUAGUUGGUGAGGUAACGGCUCACCAAGGCAACGAUGCGUAGCCGACCUGAGAGGGUGAUCGGCCACACUGGGACUGAGACACGGCCCAGACUCCUACGGGAGGCAGCAGUAGGGAAUCUUCCGCAAUGGACGAAAGUCUGACGGAGCAACGCCGCGUGAGCGAUGAAGGCCUUCGGGUCGUAAAGCUCUGUUGUCAGGGAAGAACAAGUAUCGGAGUAACUGCCGGUACCUUGACGGUACCUGACCAGAAAGCCACGGCUAACUACGUGCCAGCAGCCGCGGUAAUACGUAGGUGGCAAGCGUUGUCCGGAAUUAUUGGGCGUAAAGCGCGCGCAGGCGGUUCCUUUAAGUCUGAUGUGAAAGCCCCCGGCUCAACCGGGGAGGGUCAUUGGAAACUGGGGAACUUGAGUGCAGAAGAGGAGAGCGGAAUUCCACGUGUAGCGGUGAAAUGCGUAGAGAUGUGGAGGAACACCAGUGGCGAAGGCGGCUCUCUGGUCUGUAACUGACGCUGAGGC